rnacentral:rRNA from 1 species
UACAGAGGGUGCUAGCGUUAAUCGGAAUUACUGGGCGUAAAGCGCACGUAGGUGGCGGCGUAAGUCGGGUGUGAAAGCCCCGGGCUCAACCUGGGAAUUGCAUUCGAGACUGCAUUGCUGGAGUACGGAAGAGGAAGGCGGAAUUCCCGGUGUAGCGGUGAAAUGCGUAGAUAUCGGGAGGAACAUCAGUGGCGAAGGCGGCCUUCUGGUCCAGUACUGACACUCAAGUGCGAAAGCGUGGGGAGCAAACAGG